rnacentral:rRNA from 1 species
AACGAACGCUGGCGGCAUGCCUAACACAUGCAAGUCGAACGAACCCAUCGGGUCUAGUGGCGCCUGGGUGCGUCACGCGUGGGGACAUGCCCUUGGGUUUGGACUACCUCUACGACUGGGGUGCUAAUACCGGAUCAUGUCUUCGAACCAAAGAUAUAUCGACUUUGGUUGGGCCCGAGUUGGAUUAGCUUGUUAGUAGGCUAAAAGCCUACCACGGCGACGAUCCAUAACUGGUUUGAGAGGCAGCUCAGCCACACUGGGAUGCGGACGCGGCCCAGACUCCUACGGGAGGCAGCAGUGGGUAAUAUUGGACAGUGGGGGGAGGCCUGAAGCAGCUAGGCCGGGUGAGUGAUGAAGGCCGGAAGGAAGUAAAGCUCUUUUACCCGGGAUGAUAAUGACGGUACCGGGAGAAUAAGCUCCGGCUAACUCCGUG